UGGGGAAUAUUGGACAAUGGGCGAAAGCCUGAUCCAGCAAUACCGAGUGAGUGAUGAAGGCCUUAGGGUUGUAAAGCUCUUUUCAACAGGGAAGAUAAUGACGGUACCUGACAAAGAAAGCCCCGGCUAACUCCGUGCCAGCAGCCGCGGUAAGACGGAGGGGGCUAGCGUUGUUCGGAUUUACUGGGCGUAAAGAGUGCGUAGGUGGUUUAGUAAGUUGGAAGUGAAAGCCCGGGGCUUAACCUCGGAAUAGCUUUCAAAACUACUAAUCUAGAGUGUAGUAGGGGAUGAUGGAAUUCCUAGUGUAGAGGUGAAAUUCUUAGAUAUUAGGAGGAACACCGGUGGCGAAGGCGGUCAUCUGGGCUACAACUGACACUGAUGCACGAAAGCGUGGGGAGCAAACAGG
rnacentral:rRNA from 1 species